CCGGCCUGCUGCCUCCACCGCCCAGUCCCCGCUCAGGUGUCACUGUGGCUGGCAGCCGGGGAUGAGGGAAGGAGAAUGGGCAGGGGGUCGCGGCUGGGAGGAGAGAGGCUCUAGCAUGCCACCGGCAGCCCCGUUUGGCCUCCUCCCCUGGACCCCGCACACACACCCCGCGCCGCUUUGGCAGCCGUGCCUUGUCGGCUGGGUCAAAGCCGCAGUGCACACACUUCACUCUGAGUAGUUGAUGGCAGGCAGCGGUCUGUCUGACCUAUUCUUCCCUGAGCUGAUGGAGCGUAGUGCUGAAGGGCCUGCAGAGGAGAGGGCCAAUCCUCGUGGAGCCAUGAAUGUAAUUUCAGAAUAUUCGGCCUGAAAUUAGCUGAAGUUUACCCUUGAAGUGCUUUGAGAACAACUUCAAGAACAGCAAAUGACUUGGUAAUCAAACUGAAGAUACCACGUUGUGGAAGACCUGGGGACAUGAGUUCAAUUCCUGGUCCGGUAAGAUCCUACAUGCUGGGAAGCAACUAAGCCUGUGCACCACAACUCCUGAGCCUGCUCUCUAGAGCCCGAGAGCCACAACUACUGAGCCUGUGUGCUGCGACUACUGAAGCCUGUGCAGCUAGAGCCCGUGCUCUGCAACAAGAGAAGCCACCGCAAUGAGAAGACCAUGCACUGCAAUGAAGAGUAGCCUCGCUGCAACUAGAGAAAGCCCACG